CAACUGGCCUUUCCCCACACACAUUUUUCAAAUUUGGUUCUCCAGCCUUCCAUUAAAUCUGCAUUCGAUUCCAUUUUCAUCACUAGAAAACUAGAAUUGUUCUCUGAGCCUGCAGUCACAAACCCUGACUGAUACAAUGGGUGCCUAGCUAAGGUUUUUCCCUAAGGGGAAUGAUGCCAUCCUAUUUCUGCAUUUGAAUGUUGUCUACCAUGUGGAUGUAGAAGGGGGUAGGUAGGACGACAGAUAGGAGAAAUGUACUGUGGUUGAUCUGACAAGACAUAAUAAAUAAUGAACUUGAACUAGAACAGGGAAGGAUAAAGGAAGAAAACACAAUGUGAUUGUGGAGAUACAAUUAGUUAAUUGUUAUGACUUGCUGAUUGCAAGAUGAGGGGAAAGAGUGAAAGAAGAGAGAAGGUGGUUUGUAGCUCUUGAGUGGGGCCCAAGCAGAACAUUGAUUCUAAUCCCAGAGAACAAUAUUGUGAGCCAAGAGUGUGACACACAGGGUAGUGCUUCAGUAUUAAAAGGGGAAGUUUUAGGAAGAAUAAUUAGAGCCCUUCUGGAAUGCUAUACUUGAAGGACUAGUAAAAGACUUCUUCAUGUGACUGUUACUUAUUUUGUGCUUACUCCUUGUGUAAUGUUAAUCAUUGGUCCACAAAUAUUACUAACCCAUAGUAAUAUUAUGCCUUCAAUAAUGAAGAUAUAUGAUAUUGGUUUUCAGUUAUUCUAACAUUAAAAAAUUUUAAGUAGUUAAAUCAAAAGCUGUGAAGAUGUUUGGAGACAGCCAGCUAAAUAAAAUGUUCCUAAGAAGAGCUUCCAUAAAUCUUACAUUAUUAGGAAUAUUCCAUAAUCAUAAACGGUAGGUCAGGAUAUCAUAUACAUCAAAAUAUUCAUCAAGUUAAAUUCAAACUAUAGUAUAUAUAAUAUUGAUGGAAAAUAUGCAAACAUGAAAAACAAUUUUUUUUAGGGGUUAACAAAACAAAACUUUAUGGUCUUAUGGUUCUAGUGUCCAAACCCACAUUCUCACAGUCCAAAACAAAGGUGUCUGAAGGCCACACUCCCUCUGAAACCUUUAGCAGAAUCUGCCCUUGCGGCUUUGUAGCUUCUGCUGAUUGCCUGUCGAUCUUUGGUGCUUCUUGGCUUGCAGCUAUGUCACUCAAGUCUUUGCUUCUCUUGUUAUUCACCAUCCUCUCUGGGCCUUAAGAUGGUUUUCUUAAAAGAUUACCAGUUAUCAUGGACUCAGAGCCCACUUUACUCCAGUAUGAUGUCACUUCAUCACACCUGCAAAGACCCUCAUUCCAAGUAAGGUUACUUUGGAGGUACUGGGGGCUUGGAUUUCAACAUGUCAUCUUUUACUAUUUUUAAAUCUCUGGUUUCUCCUUUAAAAAAAAAAAAAUCACACACUUAUAGUAAGAUGCAAACCUGAUUCAUUCAAGUUAAACCUCUUCUUUUUGACUGCAGUUCCUUCUCAGCCCCACAUCUCCCUACCCAAUGAGGACGUUAAUAAACAUCAAAAUAAUGAAAAUAAUUCAACCAAAACAAAAUUUUUGCCAAAAUAAGUGAAGAAUCAUUGCUAGUAAGGUCACUACACUAGAGGAAAAUCAGAACAGUUCAUCUGAUUCAGGCAAAAUCAUUAUAAUAAAAAAAAAGUGUAACGACUUCUGGAAAAUUGUUCUUUUUGGUACUCCUGGUCUGGCAUUCCCAGGAGAUAUCAGUAGCUCCAAAAUGUGUAGUCAAGAAAAAUAUCUUUUCCAAUUACAUAAAUUUGAUCAUGGAUCUCAAUAUUUAGCUUUUCUUUCUUUUUGCUUCAUUUAAUGAAAUGGACAUAUAUUUAUUAAUUGUCCCCUGGAACUUGAGGUUUUAAUUUCAAUAAUCUUAGUCAAAGAUAACUUUUGGAACCAAAAAAAAAAAAAAAACUCAACUUUCCAAGCUAUCUCAAUUAAUUUUUUUUCCUUUCUCAAAGUUUACACUCUUUCUCUUACCCUAUUGAUAAGACUCACUUAUGAACAUAUGGAGCCCAUCACUUCAAAUUAAUUAGGGACCAAUUAAAAUAGGCCUGGAGUGGGGAGGGAUGGACUGGGUGUUUGGGAUCUGCAUAUGAACACUGAGGUAUAUGGAAUUAUUGGCCAAUGGGGGCCUACUGUAUAGCACAGAGAACUCUACCCAAUAUUCUGUGAUAAACUAUGUGGGAAAAGAAUAUGAAAGAGAAUUUUUGUACAGCAGAAAUUUUCACAACCUUGUAAAUCAACUACAAUAAAACUUAAAACAUAAAUAAAUGAAUUGUUGAACAUUAAAAAUUAAUUAGAAGCCAAUUAAAAUAGGCCAGUAACAAAGUCAUGAUACAUUUCUCAUCUUUUUCCCAGCUUGAUUUCCCCCUAGCUGCCUUAUGAGUCAUAAAAAGGGAGUUUCUGUAAUGCUUCUCAAGGUUGGUGAAGAGAUAUACUCUUGGUCUAACAAAGUAUCUAUUAUAUGCUAGAAGGAGCUUUAUCUUUAAAGCACAAAUUGAUUUUCUAUUAGAUUCUCCCAACAUCCAUAAGCAUUUUUCUCCACUUUUCUCUUUCUCCUGCCCCCACUGAUAAUGAAGCAGAGAAACCCCUGGUUAUCCAAGCCAGAAGCCAGGCACUAGGACAAGUAGAAACUUGGCGAGGAGUAUGAAUAAAAGGGACUAAAGGUCCAAGAAACUGUGUUGGGAAUGGAUAAAGAAUAAGGUUUGAAAAGAAUGUUCUCUUGAGCAUGGACACAGUCUCCUCUUCUUCUUCUUCUUCUUUUUUUUCUUUUGUCUAUUCUAGGGCCACACCUGCAGCAUAUGGUGGUUCCCAGGCUAGGGGUCUAAUUGGUCAGCCCACACCAGGGCCACAGCAAUGCAGGAUCCAAGCCAUGUCUGCGACCUACACCACAGCUCACGGCAAUGCCAGAUCCUUAACCCACUGAGCGAAGCCAGGGAUCGAACCCACAACCUCAUGGUUCCUAGUCAGAUUUCUUAACCAUUGAGCCAUGACAAGAACUCCGACACAGUUUCUUCUUAAAACCUAGAAGUGGGGCCUCCAUAUCAAGUUGACUCAGCCUAGAACAAAUAGAUCAGACUAUGUCCCACCACCUCUGAAACUUGCUAUUCAGGUUGGACAAGUGAGUGUUGAUGCUCAACACCAGUGAUGAUUUUUCUACAAAUUUUUGCUUCUAAUAAAAAUAUUUGUUAUAGGUUUCAUUAUAAUUUCAGAUGUUAUAACUUGAGAAGGUACUCUCUGAUAAUAUUACACUGUGACACAAUAUUUGGCUGUGCCUUAACCAAAUUAUUCCAUAGAACUAACCCUGGCAAGACACUAGUAUAACAAUUAAACUGUUAAUAUAAGGUACAAAAAAGCAUAACUAGUGUCUGCUAGGCAUGUAUCUGAUAAGUAUUUAUAGGGUGCUGGCUAUUUACCACGAUACUAUCUCAGAGAAAAAGAGACAGAAAGGAAACUGUCUCUGAAUGAGAACAUGCCUCUAAAGGUGGCACUAUGUCUUUUUUUUUAACCUUCAUUGAAUUAUAGUUGAUUCACUAGGUCGUCAUAAUUUCUGCUGUACAACAUAGUGAUUUAAUUAUACAUAUAUACACAUCCAUUCUCUUUCAGAUUUUUUCCACAUGGAUUAUCACAGAAUAUUGGGUAGAGUUCUCUAUGCUAUACAGCAGGUCCCCAUUAGCCAGUGGUUCCAUGUGCCACAUGUGUAGAUGUCAAUCCCAAACCCCCUGCCCAUCCCUCUCUCCCCCUGACCUGUCCCCUUAGGUAGCACUAUAUCUAAUGGGAAUUCACCAAGGGUAGUUCCCAAGGGAGACCCGUUAGGAAGUGCCAGAAGGAGAUAGGUUCUCUAAAGGGGCAUGCACAACCACAUAUUUACCAGUGUUUUGGAGAAAAGUAAGAUGAGUUUUAGAGAGAGAAAGCUGAUCCAAAAAGAGAAUUCAGAGAAAAUCCUAGUAGACAUCAAUUCACUGGGGAUACUUCCAGGUCCUAGGCCAGGCAGGGAGGCCAAAUAGGAAAUAACUGUAUACUAAAAGACAAGGAGUUUUGCAUUUGACCUGUAUCAGAAAUUUAGGAAAGAACAUAGGAUAUGCAGAACAGGAAAGGCUCAGACCUUGGGUUCUGUAAUGGCUAAAAUUCUUGAACACAUCACACUCAGUGUACGCCAUUGGGACUAAAUGAGCAUUUUUGGAGGAGAGCAAGGACAAAGGAGGAAAACUCCAAUUUUUUAUCCACCCAGGAUAUAAUGGUUAACAUGCUUCUUACCUAUUUUAUUUGAAUGAUACAGACAAGAGCAGCAUGGGGUUAAGCAUUCCUUAGGCAAUUUUUGAAAGGAGAUCAGUAUACCCCUGACCUAAUAAUCUACCUCAUCUGAAAUUUCCCUUUAGUUCUCAGUGAUAUUGGAGUUCAUUUAGGUGACAGAGAUGAAACUCAAAAAGAUCCAGAGUUAACAAAAACCUGAAUAUUGCAGCCCCAUUUUACUUCUGAAGUGAUUUGAAUAACCUACCCUUUCCAGGAAUUGCUUUUUAGUGGUGGAAAAUAUUCACGAGUCCUAUGACUGUUCAUGAAACGGAAGAAAAUCCCAAACCAAGGCCAGACAAGUCCCCUCACACAAAAUUUUGCCACUUCGUGCUGCUUUUCACCAAAUAGAGACCCAGCAUUUCCAGGACCAGGUCAAAAUCAGUGAGAAGUUUGACAGUCCAGCUAUCGUUUCAAUAAACACCCUAUAAUACUUGCUGAAACUCCUCAGUGUCUUCAGAUCUUUUAAAUGAGUUGCACCAGAUUUGUGAUAAGGGCAGUGAUCACAUCAGGCUUUCUGCUCACUCCUGGUUGGUUGUAGUGAACUUCAGAAAACUUCAGAAAAAUGCAGCAGAAACUGGCUGUUAUCAAGAGCAUUAUAGCAGACCCUGGGUAGACCCUCAGCCUUCCCAUUUUCUCUUAUGGGGUGUGCAAGAAGAAUAUUUCAUAUUCUCUCUCAAAAUUAAUUUAGGGAUCCAUGUGAUCAUUGGAUCAUCCAUUGGCCAUCAUUGUUUGGCCAAUGAAAUUGGAUUGGGGGUGACAUUUACUUCUUCCUGUAUCCUCAUAUUCUUCCAGAUAAAAUCUUCUAGGUUCAACUAGAGUGUUCUCUCCUCUCUACCCUGAGGAUGAUGUAAGACUUAGAUGUGAGACUCAUAAGAUGAAAAGAGCCAGAACCCCUUAGUCACAACCCGGGAGGAAAAACUUGCCCAGAGCAAACACCCAGUUGGCUCAGACUGUGAUGCGAAUGUGUGUGUGUGUUGGGGGGUGGGGUGAUGGAGGUAUUUGCCAUUGCACCCAGCAUUAAUUGCCCUGCCACUUACCAUACAGACAUCUUUUAUACCUGCCUUCCUAAGGUGGUCUAGCAAUUUUAGGAAUCAUCCUCCUCCAAAGUCCUCCAAAAGUCCUUCAAAACAAAUAAAGGCUAAGUAUUUGCAUAGACAACAGCUGCCAGUAGUUCUGUCUUUACGACUAAACAGUCAAAACCAAACAUACUUGUAUCACCCAGCAGGCCACUUUUAUAGCUACAGUAUAUUUUUAAAUUUAAAAAGUCUUCACUCAUAAAUGACAUAGAAAUUCCCUUUUUUCAGUUUAUGAAUUUUCUACUCCAUCUGCAUUCUAAACAAGAAAGAAAUAUUGAGAGUUGUUAACCAUGGAGAAAUAUUUCCACUG
rnacentral:lncRNA from 1 species